UACGAAGGGGGCUAGCGUUGCUCGGAAUCACUGGGCGUAAAGCGCACGUAGGCGGCUUUCUAAGUCAGGGGUGAAAUCCUGGAGCUCAACUCCAGAACUGCCUUUGAUACUGGGGAGCUCGAGUCCGGAAGAGGUGAGUGGAACUCCGAGUGUAGAGGUGAAAUUCGUAGAUAUUCGCAAGAACACCAGUGGCGAAGGCGGCUCACUGGCCCAUAACUGACGCUGAGGCACGAAAGCGUGGGGAGCAAACAGG
rnacentral:rRNA from 1 species